rnacentral:lncRNA from 1 species
UAGGAUCCAUUUCGUUCCCCCAACCAAACUUACUCCAUGAGGAGAUUGUUUAAAGGUUUUUUAGAGAUAUACAAAAUCCUAAAGUUUGAUCUAAUUAAAAUUUAUUUAGAUUUUUUUUUUUUUUGUAUUGAUCAGAUACCUCUUAUAAAUCCGUGAUAUAAUUAAGUAACCUGGCCAUAUCAUAGGCUAUAAAGUAAAGGAGAAAAAAGUUAAACCUCCUUUUAAUUGGCGAGGGAGUGAGACCAAACAAGCAAAUCCACUCCGAAGUCCUUGAUCACAUGGAACCGCGUGAUUUAGCGGCGCAAUUUAAUGUUAACUAUAGUAUUUAGCGUCAUUAUAUUUGGUAUUUAACUAAACUCAA